CUUUAAUUAGGAAAAUGGGAAAGUCUUGUCUUGUAUGCUUCAUUUAUCCACUGAUCUGUACAGGGAAAGUAUUUGGUGUGGAUUGUUUCAUUUCUUGUUGCUGUAAAAAAGACAAAGUUUCCGUUUUUUUAAUUUGUAUUACUCAUAUUAUCGAAGCAAUUAUGUGGGUCAAAGUUAUCAAAAAAUUGCUCUCAUCGCAACAAUGAACUCCCCGUGUUGUGAUAAGCAAUUCGGUUUCAGCGGUACUUACGAGAAACAAGGAGCAUGCAUUUCAUUAGUACUUAUCGUAUAUUCAUUAGUACGUAUCAAUUUAGCAUUAUCAAGAGAAGAAAAUUGUAGUUUCAUUCUCCGAAAAGUUGUUAUCUCGGAGAAAAGCAGUUACUAAUCCAAAUGAACGAAUAUCUGUUGAAAAUUUGUAUAAUGUUACAAUAAUAGUAACAUCUUUUGCGUCUUCUACUGUGUUAUACUCUGUAUUUCUUACAAGUAGCAAUCAAACAGAAACUCCUGAUGUUCAAUAUGUUUAUCAAUCUGUGCAUUUUAUGCUGUAGGUCAAACAUAUUCAAUUCUUGCUUUAUUUGUAAUGAUUUUUAAUAUAUUUGGAAAGAGAUACACGGUAAUAUCAAAGGAACCAGCAGCAAGAAGAAGCAGUGAUGCUUCAUUAGAAAAAUUUGUAGAUGAUUUGAUGCAUAAACAUUUGGAAAUACAGAAGUGUUUAGAUUCACUUAAUUAAUAAUCAAUGGAAUAUAUUACUUCCUGUGUGAUGUACCUUCGUGGGAAAUUUUUCUUCUCGUAACCUGACUUUGGAGAAGAAAUUUAUGGCCCUGCCACAACGGAGAAGGCCGGGUAACGAGGAACGAGGCCCUAUAUGCAAGACGAACACUUUUCGAAAAAUAAUCAGUUUCUUCCCUUCCGGACUCGAACCCGGACCUCUGGAUGACGCUGGACGACGUGUCAUCGGCUUACCAGAGGAGUAGGCCGAUGCCACGUCAUCCAGCACAACUUAUUCAUUGCAUUAUUAUAUUAUACAU